rnacentral:rRNA from 1 species
CAACGAGCGCAACCCUUGUGAUUAGUUGCCAGCGGGUAAUGCCGGGAACUCUAGUCAGACUGCCCAGAUCAACUGGGAGGAAGUUGGGGACGGCGUCAGGUCAGUAUGGCCCUUACGCCUUGGGCUGCACACGUACUACAAUGCCCAGCACAAUGAGAACCGAGACCGCGAGGUGGAGGAAAUCUGCAAAACUGGGCCCAGUUCGGAUUGGAGGCUGCAACUCGCCUCCAUGAAGUUGGAAUCGCUAGUAAUGGCGCAUCAUCUACGGCGCCGUGAAUACGUUCCCGGGUCUUGUACACACCGCCCGUCACAUCAUGGAAGCCGUCGCACC